GACGUAGGAUGCGAGCGUUGUUCGGAUUUAUUGGGCGUAAAGCGUACGUAGGCGGCUGCCUAAGUCUGGUGUUAAAGCUAGGGGCUCAACCCCUGUGAUGCACUGGAAACUGGGCAGCUUGAGAACGGUAGGGGAAGGUGGAAUUCCGAGUGUAGCGGUGAAAUGCGUAGAUAUUCGGAAGAACACCGGUGGCGAAGGCGACCUUCUGGGCCGUUUCUGACGCUGAGGUACGAAAGCGUGGGGAGCAAACAGG
rnacentral:rRNA from 1 species